UACGAAGGGGGCUAGCGUUGUUCGGAAUCACUGGGCGUAAAGCGCACGUAGGCGGAUUGUUAAGUCAGAGGUGAAAGCCUGGAGCUCAACUCCAGAACUGCCUUUGAUACUGGCAAUCUCGAGUCCGGAAGAGGUAAGUGGAACUGCGAGUGUAGAGGUGAAAUUCGUAGAUAUUCGCAAGAACACCAGUGGCGAAGGCGGCUUACUGGUCCGGUACUGACGCUGAGGUGCGAAAGCGUGGGGAGCAAAC
rnacentral:rRNA from 1 species